rnacentral:rRNA from 1 species
ACGGCUCAGUAACACGUGGAUAACCUGCCCUUGGGUCCGGCAUAACCCCGGGAAACUGGGGAUAAUUCCGGAUAACGCAUAUGUGCUGGAAUGCUUUAUGCGUAAAAUGGAUUCGUCUGCCCAAGGAUGGGUCUGCGGCCUAUCAGGUAGUAGUGGGUGUAAUGUACCUACUAGCCGACAACGGGUACGGGUUGUGAGAGCAAGAGCCCGGAGAUGGAUUCUGAGACAUGAAUCCAGGCCCUACGGGGCGCAGCAGGCGCGAAAACUUUACAAUGCGGGAAACCGUGAUAAGGGGACACCGAGUGCCAGCAUCAUAUGCUGGCUGUCCAGGUGUGUAAAAUACACCUGUUAGCAAGGGCCGGGCAAGACCGGUGCCAGCCGCCGCGGUAACACCGGCGGCCCGAGUGGCGAUCGUGAUUAUUGGGUCUAAAGGGUCCGUAGCCGGUUUGGUCAGUCCUCCGGGAAAUCUGAUAGCUCAACUAUUAGGCUUUCGGGGGAUACUGCCAGACUUGGAACCGGGAGAGGUAAGAGGUACUACAGGGGUAGGAGUGAAAUCUUGUAAUCCCUGUGGGACCACCUGUGGCGAAGGCGUCUUACCAGAACGGGUUCGACGGUGAGGGACGAAAGCUGGGGGCACGAACCGGAUUAGAUACCCGGGUAGUCCCAGCCGUAAACGAUGCUCGCUAGGUGUCAGGCAUGGCGCGACCGUGUCUGGUGCCGCAGGGAAGCCGUGAAGCGAGCCACCUGGGAAGUACGGCCGCAAGGCUGAAACUUAAAGGAAUUGGCGGGGGAG